GAUGAACGCUGGCGGCGUGCCUAAUACAUGCAAGUCGAGCGAACGGACGAGAAGCUUGCUUUUCUGAUGUUAGCGGCGGACGGGUGAGUAACACGUGGAUAACCUACCUAUAAGACUGGGAUAACUUCGGGAAACCGGAGCUAAUACCGGAUAAUAUUUCGAACCGCAUGGUUCAAAAGUGAAAGACGGUCUUGCUGUCACUUAUAGAUGGAUCCGCGCUGCAUUAGCUAGUUGGUAAGGUAACGGCUUACCAAGGCAACGAUGCAUAGCCGACCUGAGAGGGUGAUCGGCCACACUGGAACUGAGACACGGUCCAGACUCCUACGGGAGGCAGCAGUAGGGAAUCUUCCGCAAUGGGCGAAAGCCUGACGGAGCAACGCCGCGUGAGGGAUGAAGGUCUUCGGAUCGUAAAACUCUGUUAUUAGGGAAGAACAUAUGUGUAAGUAACUGUGCACAUCUUGACGGUACCUAAUCAGAAAGCCACGGCUAACUACGUG
rnacentral:rRNA from 1 species